rnacentral:rRNA from 1 species
ACGCAAGUGUGAAACUUGAAGGAAUUGACGGAAGGGCACCACAAGAACGCGUGGAGCAUGUGGCUUAAUUUGACUCAACCCGGGAAAUCUUACCAGGUCCAGACAUAUUGAGGAUUGACAGGCGAUAAUCAACAAACAUAUCAUAUGUAUGUUGGUAUAAAAAUGAUAGUCCUUUCAUGAUUAUAUGAUAGGUGGUGCAUGGCCGUUCUUAGUUCGUGGAGUGAUUUGUCUGCUUAAUUGCGUUUCAGUAAAUAAAAUAUAUAUAAUGUAUUAAUAUUUUAGUUCUGCCAUUUUUAAUGGAUUUAAAGUGAACAAUAUUAUACAUAUAUAUUAAUAUAUGAAUGCAACGAACGUGACCGUAACCUUUUAUUGCUAUUAUAAUAUAUUAUAGCAUAAAAUUAAAGGAACCGCUGUCAUUAUUAUAUGUGUUAAAAUAGAGUAAGAAUACGGCAAUAACAGGUCUGUGAUGCCCUCAGAUGUUCUGGGCUGCACACGUGCUACAAUAAUUACAUUAAUAAGUAUAUAUAAUAAAUAUUUAUAUACAUUUAAUGUAUAAUAAUAUUGUAAAACCUAUUUCGAAAGUAAAUCGGUAAUCAUUUAAAAAUCGUAAUAAAUAAUAAUAUAUAUACAUAAUUGUAUAUUUAAUUAAUUUAAGGUGGGGAUAGUGUAUUGUUAAUUAUUACACUUGGCCUUAACUAGGAAUGCCUUGUACUCUUCUUUGGUUUAACAUACCAAGAGGAAUACGUCCCUGCCCUUUGUACACACCGCCCGUCGCUCUUACCGAUGAAUUAUAUUAUAAAUCUAAGGGACUUAUAUAUUUAUUUUAGGAAACUUAUAUACAUAAUAGAUUUAAAGGAAAGAGAAGUCGAACAAGGCA